UACGAAGGGGGCUAGCGUUGCUCGGAAUCACUGGGCGUAAAGGGUGCGUAGGCGGGUCUUUAAGUCAGGGGUGAAAGCCCUGGGCUCAACCUGGGGACUGCGCUUGAUACGGGUGUGCUAGAGGACGGAAGAGGGUCGCGGAAUUCCCAGUGUAGAGGUGAAAUUCGUAGAUAUUGGGAAGAACACCGGUGGCGAAGGCGGCGACCUGGUCCGUUACUGACGCUGAGGCGCGACAGCGUGGGGAGCAAACAGG
rnacentral:rRNA from 1 species